UACGUAGGCAGCAAGCGUUGUUCGGAAUUACUGGGCGUAAAGGGUGCGUAGGCGGUCCUAUAAGUAUGGUGUGAAAUCUCCCGGCUUAACUGGGAGGGUGCGCUAUAGACUGUGGGACUAGAGUGUGGGAGAGGAAAGUGGAAUUCCUGGUGUAGCGGUGAAAUGCGUAGAUAUCAGGAGGAACACCGGUGGUGUAAACGGCUUUCUGGACCAUAACUGACGCUGAGACGCGAAAGCUAGGGGAGCAAACAGG
rnacentral:rRNA from 1 species